rnacentral:sRNA from 1 species
UUUCACUUGCCAUAAACAAAAUGAAAGAAAGUCAACCUGC